rnacentral:misc_RNA from 1 species
AAGUCGUAACAAGGUUUCCGUAGGUGAACCUGCGGAAGGAUCAUUAAAUGAGUAGUGCCCCCCGGGUACGAUACUCCACCCUUGUGUAUUAUACAUUGUUGCUUUGGCAGGCCGCCUUCGGGCAUCGGCUUCGGCUGGUCUGCGCCUGCCAGAGAACCCUAAACUCUGAAUGUUAGUGAUGUCUGAGUACUAUAUAAUAGUUAAAA